GGGAAAGCUGUUAGAUGGCCAGGAAAUUGCAGUGAAAAGGCUUUCCAACACUUCUGGCCAAGGCAUUGAGGAGUUUAUGAAUGAAGUUGUGGUCAUUUCUAAACUCCAGCACCGGAACCUUGUUAGACUCAUUGGCUGCUGUGCUGAAAGAGAAGAGAAAAUGCUAGUCUAUGAAUACAUGCCAAACAAAAGCCUGGACUUCCAUCUAUUCGGUUUGUUGAUGAACAUCGCAGCACUUUUUUUUUUUUUUUUUUUUUUCAGUUCCAAAAAACCAGGUUUUUCGACUAGCAGCACUAUACGGCACAGGAAAUUUUCCGUAAUACCUUAUACUGAGUCAUAUUGAUCUACGUCAUUAUUGCUCUUUCAGAUUCUGAUAAGCCAAGUGUACUUGAUUGGAAAAAACGCGUCACCAUCGUUGAUGGGAUUGGCAGAGGCCUCCUUUACCUUCACAGAGAUUCAAGAUUAAAAAUCAUUCAUAGAGAUCUAAAGGCAAGCAAUAUUCUCUUAGAUAAAGAGCUGAGACCCAAGAUAUCAGAUUUUGGCUUGGCAAGAAUUUUUGGAGGCAAUGAAGAUCAAGCCAAUACAAGGAGGGUUGUGGGUACAUAGUGAGUACAGUUCGCUCUCUUGUUUAAUUCAAUCAGUUCAUAAUAAAUCUAAACUGUUUUUCUUCCCCUUGUAGUCCUCAUAACUCAAACUACUUUUUUACUCUUUUUGCCUAUAUAUAUGGUGAUGAACGUAAGUGGCUACAUUGCCCCGGAAUAUGCAAUGGAAGGCAUGUUUUCAGAAAAGUCAGAUGUCUACAGCUUUGGGGUGCUGCUAUUAGAGAUUGUGACAGGAAGGAGAAAUAGUAACUUCUAUUAUCACGAGAAUGAGCUGAGUCUACUUGGAUAUGUAAGAUAAUAUCUUCGACUAUGACGAGUAUCAUAAGGGCAAAGUUCCUUAUCCCAUUCUUGCAUAAAGCAAAUUAAAUUCACUGUUUCAUCUUGCUUCCUCAGGCCUGGAAAUUGUGGAAUGAAAAAGAAGCAGUUAAACUGAUAGAUGCAGCUAUCUUUGUCCCGGGUAUCGAAAAAGAGGUCUUGAGAUACGUCCAUGCAGGGCUAUUGUGCGUGCAAGAAUUUGCAAAAGAUAGGCCAGAUAUCUCUGCUGUUCUAUCCAUGCUUAACAGUGAAACUUCAAAUCUCCCUCUUCCCAAAUUACCGGCUUAUACAAGAAGAUUAGGAUCUUCAGUAAGUGAUUCUUCUUCGCAAAGGGUUGAUUCUAUUAACAAUGUCACUGUAACGAUUGUUGAAGGCCGAUAACAGAAUCCACUUCACAGUAUGCAGUACUAGUAAUGCAUUCAACAAGAUGGAUGUAGCACAACAUCAGUUUGCUUUGGAGGUAUCAGCAUACAAUCAGCUGCUUGGUUAUAUUUAUGCAUCUCAGUCUGGGUGACCAUAUAUUUGACAGCUUACUGGGUAUAAAGUAUAUAAAUAACUGUUUACUUGCUAUCAUGGACAGUUUUAGCAAUAGUCUCUCCUAUGAAUACUUUCUUCUAGUCUCUGUUUCUUAGGCUGACUUUAUGCAUCUCAAAUUAUUUUCUCAGAGAUAAGAGCAGAUUUCAAUGCACAAUUUGGAUUAUUUGCAGAAAACCAUUAGUUUCGGGAUGACGUAUUUGGAUGUCAAUGCCUUACCCAUGGUUCUAGAAUGGAUUUUUAGUACUUUUACUAUUCGACAGAUAACUCAAUUUUAGGAAAUUUUUAUGUUCAUAUUUCUUUAUCUAUAUACGAAUUUUCAUGCUUGACUUUUGACCAUGUAUCACUUAGAAGUUAGAACCACUAAGCUUGAAUAUGGAAUCCAAUAACGCUAAUUACAUGAGAGUUCACCUUUACUUAUUUGCUUUGUUUGAAAGAAUCUAAAGUGUUACUGGCUUGUAGGUAUUUCAAUUCGUUGAUGUACAGAAGACUGGUAAAAUAACAUUAAACAAGUAACCACUUUUAAAUUUGAUUAUCUAUUUAUCAAUGUCCUAUUUUCCUUUGAUACACAUAAAUGGAGUCUGAAAAAUACUAGUAGCACUAAAAUCGUAAGCUUAAACUGAUUGACCAUGUUGUAAAUUGAAGAUCAUCUUGGUGCUAUGGUCAAAUUGAUUACUCACUUUAGGGAUCAUUGGUUUUUGUUAUGGAAAGUUCAUGUUCGGGAUGUAAUUCCUUUUCUGAAUGUGUUUCAUUUUGCAGGUUUAGGAUAUCAUUUCUUGGCUCUUAGAACGUUUUCGUAUAACUCGAGCCAUUCUCUAUGAAGUUGAGAUGGUACUGCCUAUUUGUAUAUGUGAUAUUGUAAUUUUGAUGAAUAUUAGUGUAUACAGCGAGACUCGAUUAGUAUGUUAACUAAUGGAAGGUUUCAUUCAUUAAUACUCGAAGGAGUAGCUAGUUAAUUUGCUAUAAAUGAAUUUAUGUCUUUUUCUUAUUUCUUGAUAGACAUCAACUAAAGAGGCUUGUGAAUGGAUUUCUUUUAAGUUUUGGCCUUCCAAAAAAAAUAAAAGAAAUAAAAAUAGAAAGAAAAGAGAAAAAAGAAAAAAGAUGAUGUUUUUGUGACUCGCAAGUCCGCUAGCCACAAGGCUAUUGGGGUCUAAUUUAACUAGUGGGUCCCAAUAGCACUUGUGACCAGCAAAACAUGACACAAAAGAUCUUUUGUGACUAUUAUUUGCAUGUCACAAAUAAAUCCUACUUUUUUUAACUUUUUAUUACAUUCAAAAUACAAGUCAUAAAAGGUAUUCUUACAAGUCAUAAUUGAUAAUGUGACUUUCAUAUACAAGUCAUAAAAAAUUUUGUGACUAUUAAAUCCGUGACUUUCAUAUACAUGUCACAAUGUGGUUACAAAAAGUUUUUGUGACUGUUUAGACCCUUUUUUGACUAUUAUUGACGAGUCAUAAUUUCCAGCGGUGAAACAUGUUUUGCAGGAUUAAUAAAGUCUUCAUUGUCUAGGAUCCUAAUGGCUAGAAUGUUGAACUUUUUGGACUUCAGUAAAUUUUGUGAAGUUUUGAUUGUGGGCAUAACAUUGGCUAAGAAAUUAUGAUGAACAAAAUUAAUCAAUUGUGAGCCGCACAAAAUGUUCAUUACAUAAAGAAGAAAUUAAACAUUUACUAUGCAUUGUAUAAUUACAAAAACUCAAAGAUGGAAGGUUACAGAAAUUUUCUAUGAUGUGUCUAGCUAGUGCAUAAAACCAACAAAAAAUAAAUUAACUUUUUGUCUUUUUAUUAGCUAUCUAUGAUCUUUUGUCUAGUCAUUAACUUCGUAUUUUCUUCUAAACCAAUAUAUAUGAUAUACGUAGUUAACUUCAGUUAUCAUUAAAUAAAAAAGGGACACCACAAUAAUUGAAGAUAAUUUUUACAUAUAAUGAUUUGAGAUAAGAGCAAGGGUUAGUGAAUAUAUUUUUAUAUUGGCAGUUUUAAUUCUAAUCACAUUUAUUAUUGAUAUGUAAUCAAUUGGAAUUUUUUUUUCUUGGUUAGUGUCACAACUGAAAUGAGAUGCGUUUAACUCUAAUUAAAAGGCAUGAUGGUAACUUAGGCAUAACUGGACAUAAUAUGUAACUUCAAUCAUCAAUUAUUUUAAAAGUGGGAUUCAUUCCUCAAUCUUCGAGAUCAAUCUCUCUUUUAUACUGGGAUUUAAAAGUGGAUGUUCAAUGACGAAGGAGCAAAUUACACUUUAGCUCCUGUGGUAUAAUUAAUUUUUACAUAACCUCAUAUAGUUUUAAAAACUAUAUAUAACCCUCUCAUAAUUUGGAUUAAAGUGUCAAACUGACGGAAAUAAUCAUCCGUUAUGGAACCUAUGAGAAUAUCAAAAUUACCUUUAUUUAAAAACUAAAUGACUGAAGUAAUUAAAAUAUAUAAAUAUAAUAUGUAUGACACUCAAAUCUUAUAUGGUUUUCUAUUUUACCAUAUAACUCUCUUAUGAUUUAGUGCUUUACUAUAUAACUUUCUUAUGAUUUAGUGCUUUACUAUAUAUCUCCCUUAUAAUUUUCAAUAAAUAUAUAUAACUCCCGUUGUUAAUAAAUAAAUUUCAACUUUACAUAAAUGUAUUUUUGACAUUUAGUUGAUUCCGUUAUGAAUUGCAAUUUUCGUCACUCUGAUAUCUUAAUCUAAAUCAUAAGGAGAUUAUGUAUAACUUUUAAAAUUAUAGGAGGGCUAUGUAAACAAAUACUAAACUACAAGGGGGUAAAGUGUAAUUUACCCAUGACAAAGACACCAAGCUGAAAGAAUUAAAAUUGCAACUUAGUUGUCACCAUUGGGUUAGUCUACAGGACACUAUAGGCAAAAGGGCUUUCUUUUCCCAAGCCUUCAACAUUUUUUUUUAAAAUAAAAGUUUGAAUGAGUUCCAACUCUGAUCACCACCAUAAAUCAGAGCAUACAUGAUAUUAUAGGCAAAAGGGAUUUCUUUUCCCAAGCCUCCUACAUUUGCCCUUUUUUUGCUAAUAAAAGUUAUAAUGGGUUCGACUCUAAUCACCACCAAAGAUCAGAGCAUGUUUUUGGAAUCAUAGAUUAUUGAUAAUCAUUUUUACAUCGAGUCGUAAAGAAAUGGUUUGUUCAUUUAACUAUUGUUAUUUUUGCAGCAAAUGAUCUGUAGAAGUCAAAAAGAUUUCACCCAAAAACUAUAAGAGAUAAAUUUCACAAAAAACUAAUGUAGAUGAGGAGGCAAUUUACACAAUAUAUAUGAGGGAAGAGGAAUAAUACUAAUGAUAAUACAUUAACCAUACACCAUAAUAAUAAUGUAAUUAAAUUUUAAUCUUCUUGACAAAUCACAAUAACAAUAAUAUCAUAACUGAAUUCAAAUAAAAUUACUAAGACCGUAACUUGAGACUGUUAAAUAAUAAUAUAAAAAUUUCUAUUUUUGCAGAUUUUUGGAUUAAAAGUAAAAAAAAUAGUAGUCAAAUCUUCUAGAACAUCCGGUAGUUAAUGUGUUUGAUUUGUCUUAGGUUCGAUUCUGUUUAUUCCAAAAAAAAAAAAAAAAAAUGAAAAUGCUGAUGCGCAAACUCCUGGGCUUAAUUUCAGGUUUCAGGUCAAAUAUGCUACUUUGAAACAGUAGAAGAAUGUUUUAUCUGUCCGUAAAAUUAAUUAUACCAAACAUUUCUAUCCGCUGUUACAGUUUCUAAUGCUUUUAUUGGUGAUACUGAUUCAGCUGGUAAAGGUUUAUAGAGCCAACUGCAAGUUGCAGCUACACGCGCCAAAGGUUGGUCUCGGUAGCAAUUUGCUGCGUUAUAGGAUUUUACCUAAAGAUUAGUUUAUUGAGUUGACUUGUAAGCUUCAAUAAUGACGGCGGACAACUGGUAAUUGACUCACAAGUUUAAGCCGCAUGGUGGGCUUGAUUCAGAGUAAUGGUGCAGUCAACCGGGACGAUAUAUUAUUAAGCUGACUCUAAAAAAGUCUUGUUUAGGGCAAAUUUUACUUUACCCCCUGUAAUUUAGUAUUUUUUACGUCACCCCCUAUGACUUCAAAAAGUUAUAUAUAACUCCCUUAUAGUUUAGAUUAAAGUGUCAAAAUGAUGGAAAUGAUCAUUCGUAAAUGAGUCACCUAAAAUGUCAAAAAUACUCUUAUGUAAAGUUGAAAAUUAUUUAUUAAUCAAGGGAGGUUAGGUGUAUAUUUUGAAAACCAUAAGGGGAUUAGUGUGUCAUGUAUUUAUAAGGAUAAUUUUGAUAUUUUUAGAAGUUUCGUUACAAAUGACUAUUUCUGUUAUUUUGACACUUUAAUCCAAACCAUGAGGGAGUUAUCUAUAGCUUUUGAAACUAUAGGGGAAUUAUGUAAAAAAUGCUAAAUCACGGAGGAUAAAAUGUAAUUUGCCCUUAGUUUAUCAUAAUCAAACACAUGAUUUCAUCAUGCAUGAUGGCUUCAUGAAUAUGACAAGAGCCACGAUGGGUUUAAUUUUCUUAUGGCAUGACUUGGUCUAAAUAUCUAGGAAGAAUGCAAAUAUCUUGUAUUGCCGUAUUAGAUUCCCAGAUAUAAAAAAUUUGUGGAGGGAAUGAAAUGGAGUUAGAUUGUAAGAUUGUUCAUCAUCAAUGAAAACUUCUCAAUCACCAAUAAGGGGAUCCCUUUUUCUACUACUUGCUUGCUUCUGUUUAGAAGCUUGUACAGCGGUGGAUUAUAUAACAAUCACUCAGCCUCUGCAGGACUCCGAAACUAUAGUUUCUUCAAACCAGACUUUCAAAUUAGGAUUUUUCAGUCCUGCAAAUAGUAGUGGUCGAUAUGUUGGAAUCAUGUUCAAUGUUCCUGCAGUUGCAGUAGUAUGGGUGGCUAAUAGAGACAGACCAUUAAAUGAUUCAUCAGGAACUCUGACAAUCUCAGGAGACGGCAAUCUUGUGGUCUUGAAUGGGCAGAAGGAGAUACUAUGGUCAUCUAACGUUUCAAAUUCUGUGGCAAAUUCUACUGCACAACUCUUGGAUACUGGAAACUUGGUUUUGACAGACAAUCCCAGUGGAAGAACUCUGUGGGAAAGUUUUCAGAUUCCGACAGACUCAUAUCUCCGGCGGAUGAGAUUAAGUUCAAGUACGAAAGGCCAGAAAAUCCGAUUGACCUCUUGGAGAAAUGCUUCUGAUCCAUCUAUCGGAAGUUUCUCCCUAGGUAUUGAACCCCAGCAAACUCCACAACUCUUCAUUUGGAACGACAAUAAACCUUAUUGGCGCAGUGGUCCAUGGAACAGCAGUGCCUUUAUUGGAGUUUCUGCCAUGGAUCCAGUCUAUCUAAAUGGUUUUAACCUGGUAACGGAUGAUACAGGAUUGGUGUCUGCUACCUUCACGUAUUCAAGUGAUAGUGGUUUGUUGUACCUUGAAUUGAGUUCCUCAGGGUCUAUACUGCAGAAAGUUUUAUCAGAUAGAAAAGGGGAUUGGGAGGUUACAUGGUCAAGCCAAGGAAGUCAAUGUGAUGUCUAUGGCAUAUGUGGACCUUUUGGAAGCUGCAAACCCCAUGGUUCACCUAUUUGUACAUGUUUGCAAGGUUUUGAGCCUAGAGAUAAGGUGGAAUGGGAAGGAGGAAACUGGACUAGUGGUUGCACAAGAAGGGCAAUGCUGCAAUGUGAGAGAAAUAAUUCUGUUCGUUCUGAGGGCAAACAAGAUGGAUUCUUGAAGCUCCCAAACACUAAAGUUCCAGAUUUGGCUGAAUGGGUAGCAACUUCAGAAGACGAAUGUGGUACUCAGUGCUCAAAUAAUUGCUCCUGUUUAGCUUAUGCCUCUUAUCCGGGCAUUGGCUGUAUGCACUGGAAGGGAAGCUUAAUUGAUAUACAGCAGUUUUCCUCUUCUGACGGGGCAGAUUUAUACAUACGUGUGCCUUAUUCUGAACUUGGUAAGACACUUCUUAUUACAAUGUUUUAGUAACUCUGUACUCUUAAUGUAGCAUUUUACUUUCUGCUUCCGCAUUCAAAUAGGAUUUGAAUUCGAUCAACGCUAUAUUUUGGAACGUAACUAAGUUAUCAAAUCCCCUUCACUUCUUUUUACAUUUUUUCUAUAGAUUCUACAAGAAAGUCAAAAUGACAUAGAAUUGCAUUUGGCUAGUUCUUUCUCGAUAGUAGCUUUCUGAAGAUGCUUUGAAACUUUGACAUUUAUAGGCAAGAAAAGGGACAUGAAAGCAGUCAUUGCAACCUCAGCAAUAGCAGCACCUUUAUUUAUUGCCGUCUCUCUAUAUUUUUGUUGGAAAUGGUGGACUAAGCACAAAGGUGAGAUUACUUACUUUAAUAUGCUCAAACUGUGCUUAAUUAAUUUCUCGUGUGUUGUGAUUUAUAUUCAUGCAUUCACCUACCACCUGCUCAUAAACAGGUAAAGACCAAGAUGAUCAGGUGUCUUCGUUUGAACCUACGUAUAAUGUGGAAAACAUGGUCAACAAAACUGGGGACCGAGCCAAGUUAGAAGAGCUACCUCUGUAUACUUAUGAAACACUAGCUAAAGCAACAGAUAUCUUUGAACAAUGCAAUGAGCUGGGCAAAGGUGGUUUUGGUCAAGUCUACAAGGUAAUGUAAGCUCCUCAUGGUAUUCCACGCUGCUUCAAGAACUACAUGAGUUGUUUGCUAGGAUUGGAACUUAAUUAUCAUUGCAUCUGCAGGGAAAGCUGUUAGAUGGCCAGGAAAUUGCAGUGAAAAGGCUUUCCAACACUUCAGGCCAAGGCAUUGAGGAGUUUAUGAAUGAAGUUGUGGUCAUUUCUAAACUCCAGCACCGGAACCUUGUUAGACUCAUUGGCUGCUGUGCUGAAAGAGAAGAGAAAAUGCUAGUCUAUGAAUACAUGCCAAACAAAAGCCUGGACUUCCAUCUAUUUGGUUUGUUGAUGAACAUCGCAGCACUUUUUUUUUUUUUUUCUUCAGUUCCAAAAAACCAGGUUUUUCGACUAGCAGCACUAUAUGGCACAGGAAAUUUUCCGUAAUACCUUAUACUGAGUCAUAUUGAUCUACGUCAUUAUUGCUCUUUCAGAUUCUGAUAAGCCAAGUGUACUCGAUUGGAAAAAAC
rnacentral:lncRNA from 1 species